GAGUUCGAGUCUCCUAACCUCCACUGACCGAACUUUGUCCCCAACUUCAAGGAUUGGAGUUGAGCUCGAAUGGAGUGUGAUUUAGAUGUGUCCGCUGGAAGACCCCAGCUUCCUGUCAUUCCAAGAGCAGAUGAUUGAAUCUGACUUUGGUUGAUAAGAUGCUGGGCUCAAACUGAGCAAUCAGUUUGAAGUUCUAGCA
rnacentral:misc_RNA from 1 species